GAUGAACGCUGACAGAAUGCUUAACACAUGCAAGUCCACUUGAAUUUGGGUUUUUAACUUAGGUUUGGGUGGCGGACGGGUGAGUAACGCGUAAAGAACUUGCCUCACAGCUAGGGACAACAUUUGGAAACGAAUGCUAAUACCUAAUAUUAUGAUAAUAGGGCAUCCUAUAAUUAUGAAAGCUAUAAGCGCUGUGAGAGAGCUUUGCGUCCCAUUAGCUAGUUGGAGAGGUACCGGCUCACCAAGGCGAUGAUGGGUAGCCGGCCUGAGAGGGUGAUCGGCCACAAGGGGACUGAGACACGGCCCUUACUCCUACGGGAGGCAGCAGUGGGGAAUAUUGGACAAUGGACCAAGAGUCUGAUCCAGCAAUUCUGUGUGCACGAUGAAGUUUUUCGGAAUGUAAAGUGCUUUCAGUUGGGAAGAAAGAAAUGACGGUACCAACAGAAGAAGUGACGGCUAAAUACGUG
rnacentral:rRNA from 1 species